AGUGCAUACAUCAUUGGAGACGGGUACAAAGAAUGGAGAGUUGUAAAAAAAUGAAAAAUAAAAAGCCGAGGAAUAAUUUGAAACACCCGGUUAGGAGGCUUAUGCGUGAUUCUUGUAUUCGUCUCGGUGUUGAGAAAUUCGUAACGUUCUGUGUUGGAUGAUGAGGAAAGAGAAAUAAACCAGAGAUCGUUUUGACAACCGUGAAAAUGUCGUUUUCACCGGGGAAAAAUUCUCUACUACCACUCGUCCAACGGGAGACACAUGCUAUUGCCAUUUCCGUCAUAAAAUUAUUGCCGGCUAUAAUAAUAAUCCCAGAAUAUUCAAACUGCAUUAUCUCGUCCUCGGGCGAUGGAAUCCGGGAAAUUUCCGAGGAAAUACGAAAAAUGGUGGACAGUUUGUUCCGGCGGUACGUGAGAUUUUCCAGAAACUGCGCUCAUCAAAAUAAAAUGUUCAUUACGAUUUUAAAAUCGUUAUUUCGCAGGAUUCAAGGA